AUACCUGGAAAGCUCACAGACAACAAUCAGACAUUCUGCAGCCCUGUUCAUUGGAAAUACUAUCCACCAUUACUGUGACUUGUUGUCUGAAACAGUGACUGAAGAUGGCAUCUCCCGCCUGUAUGAAGCUUUUCAGGAAGUGCCUUUGACAUGUGACAGGACCACAGGGCACAUCCUCAAUAGACAUUACAAAUGGCUGCAGAAGCUUGGAAAUCUCGUGUCGGGUUCCGCAUUCGACUAGGGAACCGGGACCGACACAGAAGACCUCUUUGUCCUGCUAUGACAUCUAGAGGCUAACAGGAGCCAACCAGGCCCACCACUGAUCACAUCUCUUGGGAG